GUGAGUGACAGCAUGCCCGCCCCUCCCUUUCGCCACAGGCGUCUCUGGCGAGGGCUGAGCAAACCAGUCUUGGGGUGGCCUUCGAGGGUGUCCUCGCGGGAAGAGGCCGGGCGGGCGCGGGCUGGCCCCUCCGAUGCGGCCCCCUGGCCUUGGAAGCGUCUCGCGUGGGCCGCUGCUCGCCUCACGCUCCGCCGGCGCCUACCUGCAGAUGCUCGCCAACGCUCUGGGUUUUCCCCACCUUUGCUCCCCCACCCCCUUCCCGUGCUGAUCCCUCCCGGCCCCAGAAACUUGCUUUCCUCGGGACUCAGGGCUGGGCCAGUUGCUCGGUCGAGCCGACCCUUCGGGGGGCUUCUCCUCUGCGUAGACACAGGUGACGCCAAUCCUGAUCUCCCCCCGACCUCCCUCCCGACCCUGGCAUCUUGUUAUCUGCGCCACAGCCUUGCCAUCCUCAUCACAUGGCUGCUCUCCCCGGCUUCAUCUAUCUACGUGGCAGUAAACUCCUUGAGUUGGGGAGGCCCCACACCUUGCCAGGAGACUUUUUCUCCUCUGUCUCUCCCCUAGAUAAAUACACUGAGGCUCUCCUUUUCUGCUGUUGCGGCUCUCUCCACUCUAACCCAUGAUCCUGAAGCCCCAUCUCUAUUGGGUCUUACCUGCAUUUGUGCUUCAAGGAUUUUCCACUAAAAUGGAAUUAAAUCCUGAUCCUUUGAUCAUGCACGUGAAUUCCACUGCAAUUCAAAUCAGCACUCCCUUCAUGGCCCAGUAGUCCUGUCUUGCCUUCCCUUGUCUCACCACUGACUUUCGCUGCAUUUUCCAGACACGACACCUGUCUGUGACUGUUGAAUAACUUAAAAUCAGACUUCUUAAAGCAGUUCUCUGAACAGCAUCCGUAAACCCUAGGGCAUCCCUUGAUCAUGCUGUCUGACCAGUGAUGAGCAGACAUCUGGGCAGCAACUACCAUGCAACUCUAGCCGGCUAUCUGCAUUUCAGAGGUUUCGGAGCACCACGACUUGAAGUGAGACCACUUGUUUCUCUUCCACAAAAGAGCCACUGGCUGAGGUAAAUCCUGGUGGUCAUCUGCUGGCUGGCCAAUCAUUGUAGGUACUGCCUCUCAUUGGCCAAUGAAGUUCAAGCUUCAAGGGACUGAGGAUUUUCUGCUGUGGUCCUGGCACCAGUGACAACUGAGACCAUUAAGGAAGGUGGUUCUGAACAGACUGCUCAUGCCAGCAAGCUCGGGUGCAGGCCCUUCACCUGGUGACCCAUUCUGACUUUCCCUUUGGCCUGAAGACUUCAGCUUCUCAUCCUGAAUUUCAGACUUUGGGGUAUCAUGAGCUCCAGGAUGGUCCCAGUUAAUGCCUUAAACCAUUCACUACAGGGUCUUCUGAGAUCUAGUUCUCAUUACUGUUCUGAUCUCAGUACUGACUGGAGGCUUCACCAAGUAAGCAAAGCUCAAGCUACCUUCUGUUUCUGUCCAGUACAUACAGAAAGUUCUCUAUAAUCGUUUCUCAAAUAAACUUGGCCCUGUCCUGCUCUAUAGGCACUACAUAUACUGGGCCUAGGCAGUUCUUAAAGAUUUACUAUGCAUCCCCUUGCUUUCUGGGGUUUUCUUUGGGGAAUGCAGACUUUGAAACUCUUCAUUAUACAUCAGGACAGAUGUACUUCCAGGUCAAGCUCCAUUCCAUCUUCCCCUGGGAGGAACCUACUCUUGCUGCCCUGAGUGAACAGACUAUGUACUGCACUAAAUCCCAGCCCCGGGCCUUGGCUCUGGCCUGGGACCUCAUUCACAAAGAGGCAGACGCUAAGUUUCCGUUAAGUUGUAGGAGUUUAUUUUAAAUAACCUACAGUUGAUUAAAAGGGAAUUCAUGAUAAAAAUAGAAGAUACUUGAGGAAAGAUGUGGGAAUGGACUCUGCACACACACUAAACUAACAAUGCCUCUAAAACUAAUGAUUAUAGCAAAAAUGUCUUCACAUUAAAAUUUUGCUUUUUAUGUUUUUUUUCCAUUUUUUACACAAUUACAAAAGAAAAAAAUAAAAGCCCUAAAAUCUUGAUUAUUUUUUCUUUUUGUUUUUGUUUUUUGUUUUUUUUUUCUUGGACCAAAUGCUCAUUUUCCUCAAAAUUUAUUGACCUGUGGAAGUUUUUAUACAAUAUAAUCUUUCAAAUGAAAGACUGGGGUUUCCAAAGAAAAAGAUGGAUCUCUCAAAG